CACAUAACAUAAUCGACACUCGAAUCCAAAAUUUGAUUUCAAAGCCCAUUUUUGUUAAGAGUUUUUCAAUAUUUUCCUUAUUUUAAAAUAAAUUUUGGUGGCAACUCGAUUGAAUUCGAGAAAACUCGAAAUUUAGGCUGCAACAUUCGCCGUGACAUCGGCUCACAGGUGCACACAUUCGAGAAACACUCUAAAAUUUCUUAUGUGCACCCUCCUCGCGAGCAAGCAAGAUUGACGUUCCAGCUCGUCAUCUGGGAGAACGUCAUCGCCGGGGAAGCACUUGUCGUAUGUCGAGUUGCAAGAUAAGCGUGUGAAAGGUCUGUGUUUUCGUUGUAAUGAAUGUUGACAUCCGCUCCAUCAAUGCGCUGCAAAACAACUUUGAGUCCUUAUCUAGAGAGAAGAUGAGACCCUUAAUGCUGCAAGAGAGAUAAUAUCGUUAGAAGUUAAUACAUAAGCACCCAAUGUAUAUGCAGACUUAGAAUGUAAGGAGAUAUGACUCUUUGGUGUUACACAAUCACUUGGUGGUGGAGUUCGCACCAUGCGUUUGGAAGAAAUUCUGAAUGGAGCUUCUAUGUUGGUGUUGAUUGAUAGUAGUGCAACACACAAUUUUAUUUCCCCAACCAUAGUGGAAGCUUUGGGCUUAAUAGUGACGUAUUCUACGCCCAUGGGAGUGCGUUUGGGUGAUGGACACAGAGUUGUGCAACCAUGACAUAGCAAGAUUGUUUUCAAGUUUCUAUUUUGUAUGGAUUGGAUCAGUCUUUUUUGGUUACUUAGCCUCAUGAGUGAUGUAGUCUUCCUUUUCUUUUUUCCUUGGAGGAAGAUGCAAACAAAUUUACUCAUCUGGACCACUCUAUGUAGUUCUUUUCACUAUGGUUAGGGAACUAAUUGGAUUUGUUCAAAUUCCAUUAUACUAUAGCUGUUAUUUGACAAUACUAAUUGAAAUAUCCUCUUCAAACAUGGUAUGGAAACUGAAAGAAUGUAAAAAGCGUUUGCAUAUAAACAUGUUAGAGAUAAUCACGAAAAGACCGGGAAACAUGUUUUUACCUUAGGUGAUUUUGAAGAAGCUGAUGAACUAUUCGGGUUAAGGCCUAGGGGUGGUUCGAAGAGAAAAUGUCCGACAGUAGAAAUGUUGGUUAGGAAAAGAGUUACUCCACCAAGUCAUUUGGAAAACUUAUUUAUGCAAGAAAGUGAGUAACAUAGAUCGUAGUUCUCUCUCUAGGCAAAAAGUUAUGUGCUGACCUUGGGUAUAGAAAGUUCACCAUGAACUUGAAGUGCCAAGGAUUGUAUUAUAGAAAGUUAUGCAUUGGGUGUUUUACCAUGUAUCCAACAAUACAAUUAUGCCACAUCUUCUUUCACUUGUGAUUUUUGAUCUAUUAAAUAGUUUCCCUGUUGAAAUUAUAGGAAUUUGUGUUGAGCAGAAGAGAAAGGGAGAACAAACUUUGAAAUAAUAGAAUAAAAUGUUUAUAUAUUGUGUAAUAUAUGUUAUAAAAUAUAAUGCUAACGCCUAUUUGUAUAAA